UACAGAGGUGGCAAACGUUGUCCGGAUUUAUUGGGCGUAAAGCGCGUGUAGGCGGCCAUGCAGGUCCGCUGUGAAAACUCGAGGCUCAACCUCGAGACGUCGGUGGAAACCGUGUGGCUAGAGUCCGGAAGAGGAGAGUGGAAUUCCUGGUGUAGCGGUGAAAUGCGCAGAUAUCAGGAAGAACACCAAUGGCGAAGGCAGCUCUCUGGGACGGUGCUGACGCUGAGACGCGAAAGCGUGGGGAGCGAACAGG
rnacentral:rRNA from 1 species